rnacentral:snoRNA from 1 species
CCAAUGAUGAGAAAUAUACCUUGAACCAAGGAUUAUGUUUAAUACAACUUUUUCUACCUGAGG